rnacentral:rRNA from 1 species
AUGCAAGUCGAGCGCGAAAGGCCUUCGGGUUGAGUAGAGCGGCGGACGGGUGAGUAACGCGUAGGAAUCUACCCAGUAGUGGGGGACAACAGUCGGAAACGGCUGCUAAUACCGCAUACGCCCAAGGGGGAAAGCGGGGGAUCUUCGGACCUCGCGCUAUUGGAUGAGCCUGCGUCGGAUUAGCUAGUUGGUAGGGUAAAGGCCUACCAAGGCGACGAUCCGUAGCUGGUCUGAGAGGACGAUCAGCCACACUGGGACUGAGACACGGCCCAGACUCC